ACAUACGACCACAGCCAGAGAAUUCUACAGGGUCUCGUUAGCUCCCCAUAUGUCAAGACUUUGUGCGGUAAACUAGUAGUCAGGUGGGUGACCACUGGCGAAUCCUUACUGUUGUAUGUA
rnacentral:rRNA from 1 species